rnacentral:rRNA from 1 species
UACGUAGGGGGCAAGCGUUGUCCGGAAUUAUUGGGCGUAAAGAGCUCGUAGGCGGCUGUACAAGUCGAACGUGAAAACUCGGGGCUCAACUCCGAGCCUGCGUUCGAUACUGGAUGGCUAGAGUCUGGUAGGGGGAUCUGGAAUUCCCGGUGUAGUGGUGGAAUGCGUAGAUAUCGGGAGGAACACCGGUGGCGAAGGCGGCGACCUGGGUAGAUACUGACGCUGAGGUGCGAAAGCGUGGGGAGCAAACAGG